GGAGAUUGCACAUGUUGUUGAGUUACACUCUGACAUUAGUUUGACUGAAUUGGUGCACAUAACCAUUAAAGUAGAAAAACAAUUGAAGAUGAAGAGAGCUUUGAAGUAUGGCAGUGGUGUCCAUUCAGCUCCAAAGGCCCCUUGGAAACCAAAUGUAGAUAAGACUCCUAAGGGUGAAAAAGAAUUUCCUAAGUUUAGGAAAGAAUAGUGGAAGGGGAAAGAUAAGAUAGAAAGUAAAGAUAAGGAGAAAGGGGUUACUCCUACUACUAGGACUAUAGAUGUGAAAUGUUAUAAGUGUUUGGAAUAUGGGCAUUAUGCUUCCAAAUGUUCUAACAAGAGAGUCAUGGUGAUUAGGGAAGAUAGGGAGGUAGAGAGUGAGGAAGAAAAUGAGGCCGAGCCUUUGAUGCUAGUUGAGGGGAAUCAAAAUGAAGAGGAUGUGCAUAUUGAGGAGCCAUCCAAUGGGUAUGACUUUACAUCGGUUACCAUGAGGACCUUGAGUGC
rnacentral:misc_RNA from 1 species